CCCCAAAUAGUUUAGACGGUUAAGAAUACGUUGGUAUCACCCACGCGACCCGGGUUCGGGUCCCGGUUUGGGAA